GUAGUACUUCGUUAAGAACCGUCGGUCGAAGGAUGGGCCCGCGUCUGAUUAGCCAGUUGGCGGGGUAACGGCCCACCAAAGCGACGAUCAGCAGCCGGCCUGAGAGGGUGGACGGCCACACUGGGACUGAGACACGGCCCAGACUCCUACGGGAGGCAGCAG
rnacentral:rRNA from 1 species